rnacentral:rRNA from 1 species
UACGAAGGGGGCUAGCGUUGCUCGGAAUCACUGGGCGUAAAGCGCACGUAGGCGGUUUGCUAAGUCAGGGGUGAAAUCCUGGAGCUCAACUCCAGAACUGCCUUUGAUACUGAGGAUCUUGAGUUCGGGAGAGGUGAGUGGAACUGCGAGUGUAGAGGUGAAAUUCGUAGAUAUUCGCAAGAACACCAGUGGCGAAGGCGGCUCACUGGCCCGGUACUGACGCUGAGGCACGAAAGCGUGGGGAGCAAACAGGG